rnacentral:lncRNA from 1 species
UAAUAGGAUUGGUACGCAAUUUAAUUUGAGCAGAUCGCAUGGCAGACUGGAAUUUACUUACAGUCCAAGGAAAAAAGUUUUGGGGCUCUACUGAAAAUAAAAUUCGACUACAAUCCUUUCUGCGUUUAUUUAUUUUAAAAAAUGGUUACUAAUUCUGGCUUGGCGUUCAACUGGUUUGUAGUGCUACAAAUACCGAAGCGUUUCAAUCAACAUCAUCUUCUUCUGAUUUGUUAAAAAUGUUGAAAAAAAGAGAGAUUACGGAAGCUGAUAUGAGAAUAAUGAUUCACAUAGCUCAGGCAGCACGUGAAAAUCAUAAGAAAAUAUGUAUUUUGUCAUCUGAUACUGACAUUAUAAUCAUGACAUUAUAUCACUUUAGAAAAUUUGAAUCUGUUGGAUUAAAGGAACUAUGGAUAAAAGCAGGAAUAUAGGGGCUAUAAAACGAGACAUCGCAAUACAUAUUAUGGCAUUGCGUUGUGGCACAGAAACCUGUUUGGUACUUCCUGCACUUUACCACUUGACUGGAGCGGAUUAUACGAGCAAAGUUGGCACAAAACGUGCUGCUUUUCAAGCCGAACCAGAAAAGUAUCUUUUGAACUUUCCACAAGAUUUAACCAAAAGUGAAAUUGAAAGCUCUGUUCGGCUUGCAGAAGAGUUUUUGGUAAAAGUAUACCGCAAGGACAGUUAAUGUAAACAUUUUAAUGAACUGAGAUAGUAAAUCACCAAAAAAAUGUUUCUUUAGAAAAGUUACCCCCAACUAGUGCAAAUAUUAGAUUUCAUAUUUUAAGAGCUUUUUUUAUUGUUUAUAAUCAAAACUUUUGUUUAAAUAUAUUGGAACAUACCACUUUGCUUGAUCCACUUGGUUUUGGAUACAAGAUCGAGAAUGGUUGCCUCUUACCAAAAUCAGUAACUAACCUUUUUCCCCCGAGUGACGAUCUUUUACCAAGCUGCAAUUGCACGAAAUGUUCGCGGCAAAAUAGUUGCCGUUGUAGGGCUGCUGGGUUAGAGUGUUGUUCAUUUUGUUAUUGUAAAGGAGGAAUAAACCAGUGUAAAAAUCCGUACAAUAAAUAAAUAAAGGUAAAAAGUAUAUUGUGUUCAAAUUAUUUUAACUGCAAUUAUUUUUCUAAAAUUUGGGCCACCCUGUAUCAUUAAAUUUGUUUUGCUAUAUAUUA